CGGUUGGGAGAGCUGCAUGAUUGCGGUUCGUCGGGGUCAUCCCCGCCCGGCCGC
rnacentral:ncRNA from 1 species